rnacentral:rRNA from 1 species
CGGAGGGUGCAAGCGUUGUUCGGAAUUAUUGGGCGUAAAGCGCGCGCAGGCGGCCGAAGAAGUCCAUGGGUGAAAGGCCGGGGCUCAACCCCGCGCAUGCCCAGGAUACUGAUCGGCUGGAGACACGUAGAGGCAAGCGGAAUUCCGGGUGUAGCGGUGGAAUGCGUAGAGAUCCGGAAGAACACCGGAGGCGAAGGCGGCUUGCUGGGCGUGAUCUGACGCUGAGGCGCGAAAGCGUGGGGAGCGAACAGGAUUAGAUACCCUGGUAGUCCACGCUGUAAACGAUGGGCACUGGAUGCGGGGGGGAUCGGCCCUCUCCGUGUCGCAGCUUACGCGUUAAGUGCCCCGCCUGGGGAGUACGGCCGCAAGGCUG